UUCAAUGCGUGCUCUAUCGACACCGGAGUCGAGGUAGUUCCUGGCCGAUUCGACCGCUUUUAUCCGCUACGAUUUCCCAUUCUCAGCAUUGGGGUCGUCGUUGUGAUGGGCAGCAACAAAACCCAGUGUGGUCCUGCGACCCAUUUUCAAUCACCUUCCUCUAUAUAAUGUGCCACAUGUCCCACGCCUAUGAGUCCCUGAACCAAGAGUGGGUUUCGCAACUUUCACUUUUUUUUUUCCAUUAUAGAAACGAAGUGAGUAUCGUUUAUUUUUGCCAUUUGCUGUUUACUCGAUCGCUAAUACGACUGCUGUGCCCAGUUACAUAUGCGCCAUAAGUAGUAUACGACCGGGCUUGUGCGGCACACUUCGAUAAACAUUCGAACUUCAUCCCAACAGAGACAACUCGUUAAGGCCACGCCAACCUCGACCGAAGGGCUUGGAACUGUUCUUGCCGAUUAUCCGUUGUUGGUGGUCUGGUCUUAUCCGUUCAUUAGCAGCCUAAGGUAUAUUGCCUUGUCGUCGCGAAUUCGUUCGAAAAUUAAUGAACAUGGGAAAACACCAGUAGCUCAUGUAGUCGAACCGGCAGAAGCAGUAGCUGCCGAAGAGAUGACAGCCAAAAUGCGCAGAUAACGAAAUCGGACGAAAACUCCGAUCCGCCCUGCGUCGUCCCGCUGGUCUGCUGCCUCGCAGGACUAAGUCCUUCGCGAUGCAAACAAAGCCGCUUUCGCCAAAAUCUGAAACAGUGAAGUCGUUGGCCGGGCAUCAGGAGCAACAAAAAAAUUAGGUGGUCAUCACCGUUGAGGACUUCAGAAGACAACAACGGCACCAGUGACCCGAGCGUCAACCAGUCCAAUGCCACUAAUCGAACAUGGAAGAUAAUGUUGUACGGCAUAGUCUUUUUGUCCUUUCUACGAUAGCAUUUGAACCUGCUGUCGAGAUACCACGCCUCUGGUUGGCCUGACGCGCACGAGAUGUCUACAGCCCCAGUAUAGAUGCACUCUAUGCGGCAAACACAACUUCUACGCGGGUUUACUAGGUUUCCUAGGUAUUACUACAGUGCGAGCUUCCGACAAGGCUGCCAAGCAGUUGGAUGAGCCAACAAUGAAUCCACUAAAAGAGAAGGAAGGAAAUUUGCUGUAGGAUAGAGAUCGAUAUAGCAGCCGUUUUUUCGGCAAAAGACGGUUGGCUUCUGUUCAUUGAAAAAACGCAUCUAGACAGCCAUAAUACCAAAGACGAUGUGGCACGGAAGUUACGACACGUUGAGAUAGACAGACAGAUGAAUGCGGAGCAAGGUUAAGUUAGGUUGGGGGCGACCUGCGGAGGAGGUAAUGGAGGGAGGCCUGAAGCGCGAGAAGGUCAGAAAAAUUGUUUCAGAUUCACUGAGCAAGUGAGCGUUCAAUUCGCAGGCAUAUGCGCAGACGUGUAAUCCUGGCAUCGCGUACCUGAGCAAAACUCUUCCGAGCGACAACUUUUCUCGUUGCGCCGUAAGAUCGAUUGGCGGCCAUGUAGGUCAGAAGUGGGUGACUACUAAGGCUGCAGGAAUGGUAAUAUCUAAGUAUUUCUUCCUCGGUGAUCUCCAUUGAGAGUCCCGGCGCCUCGCAUACGUAUCCGCAUCCGCAGUUAUCAGAAAUGCCACGCACUCACCGAAGAUGGGCUCCGUCGUCGGCUGGCGACCAAACUCUCUCAGUUCCUCUCUCUGAGAGAAUUUUGCUGAGUGUUGGGGAAGGUAUGAGCUAUAUGGAUGUUGGAGGUACAUGAGGUACGCGCUGUGCGAAUUGCAUAUAGACUACUACUACGUAGAGUUUGUGGGCCACUGCAUUCGAACGAGUCUCCUGGGUCGACCAACCUUUGAGGUCGCCAUCCUGUGGGAACGGGCGCGAUUCUUUCGAAGCAGCCCAGUGGUGGGCGCAUAAACACCGGCUUAACAGGCAACGAUCCGUCCCGUUGAAAAGAUGGCGGAGAACAGGCAGGAUAAACUGAAUUGGCGAAAAAAUCCAAAGGAAGACAGUGCAUCGACGAGUCAGAAACAGCGCCAUCGUGACACAGAUUUACUAAUCUUUGUAUAGCGUAUGUCCAAGCAGCCCAUGUAUGGUAAAUCAGUUGUUUCUUUCGGAAAACUUAACAACCAGCUAAACCUGCUCGCUACCUUCGCCCUCACCGUUGCUGCCUUUAUGCUACACCUAUCUGGCUACCUGCACAGAUGUAAAUAUUCUAUAACUAUCCUUACGAAUUCCUGGGGACUGUACCGUUUAGUCGUUAUCUCAGGACCAACAAGUUGGCCAACUAUCGCCGGUUCAUCAAGGAGGUUCCCACCGUUACGGAACUAGCUCAGUCACGACGCCCUUCACCGGCCGAAGCAGGCCGAACGGCGGCAGCGGCGAUCCGUCUGCGGUAAACGCAUUGUCAAGGCGCCGUAGUAAUACUACGAUUGUUGUAAUAGGUGAGUGUUUGCGUGUUCGCAUCUACGUUACUUAACUUCGAAGUCUGCACACACAAGCACACGCUUACUAAGAGGAGACCUUUGAUAUAUGACGUAGCCGAACAAGCUACAAAAAAGACAUUGUAGCCACUUUGAACAGUGGCGGACUACUUGGGCCCGUUUCAGACCACGAAGCUGGGUGAAACCGUUGCCCGUCAUCGCGUUUUACCGCUUGUUUAGGCUGCGUAUGACUACAACGCAAUGAGUACUAUUCUCUCGAUCAUUUUACUAUCCCAGUUGAGGUUCUUUCAGAGCUGUAGCGCCAAUUCCCACAGAGAACGCGCGCGCGUUAAACGCUGCUAAAUGUUCUAGACUCUGAUCAUCGGCACUCGUAACCAGCAGAACCAGGACCUGCUAUCAGGCACACACCCAACCGUCUGGCAGGACAUGCUGAGCAACGGAUAGCGGCCCUAGCCAUAGCAGAAUUGGCUUGAUCCGCCUGAUCCGAUUGUCAGAGCUAACGUCCAGUGUGCGGACUGUGCCAAUUAUAGGCUAGACGCACAGACAAAGAUAGAUGCAAAAAAAUAGGGUUUAAAAACAAAGGCAGAUGAAAGCCCGUUGAACAUCCUGGAGAGAUCUUAAACGAAUUCAAAAAGCCACAAGGACGGCAACGUAUAAAAAGGA
rnacentral:lncRNA from 1 species